GAAAACGUUGUGAAAUCAUGUCCCCAAAACGCCACAGAGGUCUUGGAAUCCUCCACCAGACUGGGCUGUGGUGUAGACAAGUAUGGGAACGAUCAGUAUAUCUGUGUUUCUAACAGAAACAAAACAGGACUAGUAGAACUAUGUUACAACGGUGUCAUGGAAUUGAUACAAAGAGGUAACUGUUUGGAAACUGACGGAGAAAACCUUUAUUACGUCGAUUGUCUUGGAUUUUCAUCAGGUUGUCCUGAGGAAGAUUAUCCAAGCAAUACAAUAUACCAGUAUCCCGCUUGUCAAAGCAUCAAUACUGAACAAAAAUGCUAUCUCGCUGAAUUCUCAUGCCCGAACACGUAAGUAUUUUCUUUUCCUUUGAAUUAUCUGAUGUU